rnacentral:pre_miRNA from 1 species
AAAAAGGCAAACCCUGGGUUUCCGUGUCCAACUUUAACUGUCCGUCUUAUAUAAAUUUUUUUUAUAAUUCGUAUUUUCAUUGUUGUUAGAUGAUAAAACAUGAUUAAUAUUUUAUGCGUGACUUGUCUUUUUAAUUUUUUUCAUAAUUUUUUCAAAUAAGACGGACGGUCAAACGUUGGGCACGGAAACCAGGGUUUGUCUUUUU